UUAAAAAUUAACAGGUGCAGCGGCAG
rnacentral:piRNA from 1 species